UUAUGGUUCUUUAGAACGUAAGGGAAUCUCUCUCUCUCGCACUCUUUGCUAUUUUGUGGAGUGGAAGUAAAAUCUCUCCUCAUUGCAGUCCCUCUAAUGUCACAGCCAUUCCUCUCGGCUUUGUGCUGCUCUUUUUUUUUUCUAUUUCCAGCCUGUGAGCACAGCUUCUAUACGUGGAGGGUCUGCCUGCAUUCUUGCAUGUUUUGCUGCGGUAAGGCAAUUUGCUACUCUAAGCAGAAACUGGAUAUCUGAGGGGCACCUUUUUCCCCCUUACCCUGUAUGCUCUAGUGUCAGUACCCAUCCUGUGCAAUCUGGAAACCUCACAAGAAAUGCCUGUGUAUCACAGGCAAACUUGGCCUAGGAUGCAAAUGUCAACCCAGAGAAUCUAAAGUGACUCACUGUACACACAUGUAUCUUGAGAGCCUUUUCCAUGUGCACAAUUAACUCGUUGACAAUCCAUGUUAUGUAACCACUGGUCAUGAAUCACUGAGAUUACUGUUUGGAACAGGCCAAGGAAGGCUCAGGCUGUGAAACCAAUUCAUGUAAUUAUCUAUAAUGACACUAAUAUAGAACAUAUUAAUAAUGGGAACUGAUGUGUUCUUUCCAUUUGCGUCGCCCCGAUUGGUCCAGCAGGCAUCCUAAUGUUUUGCUUAUUCUGUUGGCAGACUUGUUUAUUAUCUGCUGCUUCUGUGAGGGAAGAGAAUUGGAAUCUGCCGUGAAAAGGAGAUGCUAAUGGAUCUGGCAAGGUUGAUUGCAAAAUGGAACAAUGGAAAAGGACAAACAUGAAAAGCCCUGGGAGCCAUCCAUGGAGAGGAGGAAUUAUAACUUGCACCUGAUGCUCAUGCUUAAAACAGAAUCCAGGAAAGAACCAGGAAACUUCAGAAUUUUGCCAUGUACAUCACCUGACUGCUGACAAAGACCUGGAAAAAGACAUCCUGUGAACCUCUACUGAGACAACCUAUAAAAUUUGGUGCUGAAAUGAAGAAUGCUUGAAGCAUAUUGUCUGAGGCACAUGCAGCCCUUAGCAUAUUUCCAUUGUGUCAAACUACUCCAACUCAUCCUACCUUCAGUCAGCUAACUGCAAAUGCAGUUAAAAUGCAUAUGGAAAAAUGCUGCCAUAUAAAUGUGGAAUGCAAUGAUAACGAGGGCACAUCCUUUUUCCUUCUAUUGACUUAUUAUGCACUUCUAGAUUUUAAGGCCAGAAAGGACAAUUAGAUUAUUUAGUCUGAAUUCCUAUAUAAUACAUAUACACAGUACAGUUUCAUCCAGUUACUACUAUAUUGAGCUUAAUACCUUGUGGUUGUCUAAACCUAAGUAUCUUCCAAGUCAGCAUAACUUGAACUUUUGCCUUCAAGAGAUUGAGAAUCCA